GCCUGAUGCCAGCCAUGCCGCGUGUGUGAAGAAGGUCUUCGGAUUGUAAAGCACUUUAAGUUGGGAGGAAGGGCAUUAACCUAAUACGUUAGUGUUUUGACGUUACCGACAGAAUAAGCACCGGCUAACUUCGUGCCAGCAGCCGCGGUAAU
rnacentral:rRNA from 1 species